GACGUAGGGCGCGAGCGUUGUCCGGAUUUAUUGGGCGUAAAGAGCUCGUAGGCGGCUUGUCGCGUCGAAUGUGAAAACCCACAGCUCAACUGUGGGCCUGCAUUCGAUACGGGCAGGCUAGAGUUCGGUAGGGGAGACUGGAAUUCCUGGUGUAGCGGUGAAAUGCGCAGAUAUCAGGAGGAACACCGGUGGCGAAGGCGGGUCUCUGGGCCGAUACUGACGCUGAGGAGCGAAAGUGUGGGGAGCGAACAGG
rnacentral:rRNA from 1 species